rnacentral:rRNA from 1 species
UACAGAGGUCCCGAGCGUUGUUCGGAUUCAUUGGGCGUAAAGGGUGCGUAGGCGGCGGGGUAAGUUUGAUGUGAAAUCCCGGGGCUCAACCCUGGAAUUGCAUUGAAUACUACCUUGCUAGAGUACCGGAGAGGAAACUGGAAUUUACGGUGUAGCAGUGAAAUGCGUAGAGAUCGUAAGGAAGGCCAGUGGCGAAGGCGAGUUUCUGGACGGUAACUGACGCUGAGGCGCGAAAGCGUGGGGAGCGAACCGG